GACGAACGCUGGCGGCGUGCUUAACACAUGCAAGCCGAACGGAAAGGCCCUGCUUUUGUGGGGUGCUCGAGUGGCGAACGGGUGAGUAACACGUGAGUAACCUGCCCUUGACUUUGGGAUAACUUCAGGAAACUGGGGCUAAUACCGGAUAGGAGCUCCUGCUGCAUGGUGGGGGUUGGAAAGUUUCGGCGGUUGGGGAUGGACUCGCGGCUUAUCAGCUUGUUGGUGGGGUAGUGGCUUACCAAGGCUUUGACGGGUAGCCGGCCUGAGAGGGUGGCCGGCCACAUUGGGACUGAGAUACGGCCCAGACUCCUACGGGAGGCAGCAGUGGGGAAUAUUGCACAAUGGGCGGAAGCCUGAUGCAGCAACGCCGCGUGCGGGAUGACGGCCUUCGGGUUGUAAACCGCUUUCGCCUGUGACGAAGCGUGAGUGACGGUAAUGGGUAAAGAAGCACCGGCUAACUACGUG
rnacentral:rRNA from 1 species